rnacentral:rRNA from 1 species
AUUGAACGCUGGCGGCAGGCCUAACACAUGCAAGUCGAGCGGGGUUUUCGGACCUAGCGGCGGACGGGUGAGUAAUGCGUAGGAAGCUACCCGAUAGAGGGGGAUACCAGUUGGAAACGACUGUUAAUACCGCAUAAUGUCUACGGACCAAAGUGUGGGACCUUCGGGCCACAUGCUAUCGGAUGCGCCUACGUGGGAUUAGCUAGUUGGUGAGGUAAUGGCUCACCAAGGCGACGAUCCCUAGCUGGUUUGAGAGGAUGAUCAGCCACACUGGAACUGAGACACGGUCCAGACUCCUACGGGAGGCAGCAGUGGGGGAUAUAGGACAAUGGGCGCAAGCCUGAUCCAGCCAUGCCGCGUGUGUGAAGAAGGCCUUCGGGUUGUAAAGCACUUUCAGUAGGGAGGAAGCGUUGUGUGUUAAUAGUACACAGCGUUGACGUUACCUACAGAAGAAGCACCGGCUAACUCUGUGCCAGCAGCCGCAGUAAUAC